UCUCUCAUGGUCUAGUGGCUAAGACUCUGAGCUCCCAAUGCAGGGGACCCGAGUUCAACCCCUGGUCAGGGAA
rnacentral:tRNA from 1 species